rnacentral:lncRNA from 1 species
GGACCAAACUAUAUAUAUAAAAAGUUAAAUUGAAUAAAAUGCUCAAAGAUAAAAUAAAAAAAAAUUAAACUUCAAAAAGGUUCAAAAGCUAAAUAAACAGUAAUUAAAAAGAGUUUUAAAAUUGAUAAAAUUACAAAUUAAAUGAUACAAUUAUUUUUUUAAAAGUUCAGGCAUGAAAGAAAUGAGGUUGAUGCGCCACUCAACACCAUGAGAAUACAUCACAUCACUAGAAAAAAAAUGAUAUUCCGCUUCUAAUACCGUAAUGAAAAGAGGAUUUUGGUUGAUGUAGAAGCUCUCACACACCACACCACUUGAAUGGUUGAUGUAGAAGAUAUUCCGCUUCUAAUACCACUUGAAAAGAGGAUUUGCAUCUUGUUAACUUUAGAUUUGCCAUUUUCUUUGCUUGUUGCAGCUGCUCAAGGUCAAAACUUCUGUACCUUAUUGAUCACAUGAUAUAUUUCAUAGUUUAGGACAAACAAUGAAUCCGUUCGACCAAGUAAUAAUACAUCAAUAUAUGACACCAAAUAUCAUAUACCUGAAAUGAUAUAAACAAUAAUAAUAUACACACGCAGCAGGACACCUAUAUAUAUUAAUGCGGGAUUUAAUGUCUAAAUUAUAAGCUAAAGUAUAAGAUUAGGAAAAACAUACAAGUAAUCUGAUCGUGGAAGACUCGUUACUGAGUUUCCCCUCCAAUAACAUGAAUAUUUUGUAUCAACAACUUGCAAAUUUUCAUGAAAUAAAUGAAAGAAAAACCUUCUCAAACAUUAUGAUGAAAGAAUUGGAGGGGAAACUAUGACCCGCCACUAUUUUGAAGGCAUC